GACGAACGCUGGCGGCGUGCUUAACACAUGCAAGUCGAACGGAAAGGCCCUGCUUUUGUGGGGUGCUCGAGUGGCGAACGGGUGAGUAACACGUGAGUAACCUGCCCUUGACUUUGGGAUAACUUCAGGAAACUGGGGCUAAUACCGGAUAGGAGCUCCUGCUGCAUGGUGGGGGUUGGAAAGCUUCGGCGGUUGGGGAUGGACUCGCGGCUUAUCAGCUUGUUGGUGGGGUAGUGGCUUACCAAGGCUUUGACGGGUAGCCGGCCUGAGAGGGUGACCGGCCACAUUGGGACUGAGAUACGGCCCAGACUCCUACGGGAGGCAGCAGUGGGGAAUAUUGCACAAUGGGCGGAAACCUGAUGCAGCAACGCCGCGUGCGGGAUGACGGCCUUCGGGUUGUAAACCGCUUUCGCCUGUGACGAAGCGUGAGUGACGGUAAUGGGUAAAGAAGCACCGGCUAACUACGUGCCAGCAGCCGCGGUGAUACGUAGGGUGCGAGCGUUGUCCGGAUUUAUUGGGCGUAAAGGGCUCGUAGGUGGUUGAUCGCGUCGGAAGUGUAAUCUUGGGGCUUAACCCUGAGCGUGCUUUCGAUACGGGUUGACUUGAGGAAGGUAGGGGAGAAUGGAAUUCCUGGUGGAGCGGUGGAAUGCGCAGAUAUCAGGAGGAACACCAGUGGCGAAGGCGGUUCUCUGGGCCUUUCCUGACGCUGAGGAGCGAAAGCGUGGGGAGCGAACAGGCUUAGAUACCCUGGUAGUCCACGCUGUAAACGGUGGGUACUAGGUGUGGGGUCCAUUCCACGGGUUCCGUGCCGUAGCUAACGCUUUAAGUACCCCGCCUGGGGAGUACGGCCGCAAGGCUAAAACUCAAAGGAAUUGACGGGGCCCCGCACAAGCGGCGGAGCAUGCGGAUUAAUUCGAUGCAACGCGUAGAACCUUACCUGGGUUUGACAUGGAUCGGGAGUGCUCAGAGAUGGGUGUGCCUCUUUUGGGGUCGGUUCACAGGUGGUGCAUGGCUGUCGUCAGCUCGUGUCGUGAGAUGUUGGGUUAAGUCCCGCAACGAGCGCAACCCUUGUUCACUGUUGCCAGCACGUUAUGGUGGGGACUCAGUGGAGACCGCCGGGGUCAACUCGGAGGAAGGUGGGGAUGACGUCAAGUCAUCAUGCCCCUUAUGUCCAGGGCUUCACGCAUGCUACAAUGGCUGGUACAGAGAGUGGCGAGCCUGUGAGGGUGAGCGAAUCUCGGAAAGCCGGUCUCAGUUCGGAUUGGGGUCUGCAACUCGACCUCAUGAAGUCGGAGUCGCUAGUAAUCGCAGAUCAGCAACGCUGCGGUGAAUACGUUCCCGGG
rnacentral:rRNA from 1 species